UGAUCCUAGCGGCGGACGGGUGAGUAACACGUGGGCAACCUGCCUCAUAGAGAGGAAUAGCCUUCCAAAGGGAGAUUAAUACUCAUAACAUUGCAGUUUCGCAUGGAUCAGCAAUUAAGGAGCAAUCCGCUAUGAGAUGGGCCCGCGGCGCAUUAGCUAGUUGGUGAGGUAACGGCUCACCAAGGCGACGAUGCGUAGCCGACCUGAGAGGGUGAUCGGCCACAUUGGGACUGAGACACGGCCCAGACUCCUACGGGAGGCAGCAGUGGGGAAUAUUGCACAAUGGGGGAAACCCUGAUGCCAGCAACGCCGCGUGAGUGAUGACGGCCUUCGGGUUGUAAAGCUCUGUCUUCAGGGACGAUAAUGACGGUACCUGAGGAGGAAGCCACGGCUAACUACGUGCCAGCCGCCGC
rnacentral:rRNA from 1 species